rnacentral:rRNA from 1 species
UACGUAGGGUGCAAGCGUUGUCCGGAAUUAUUGGGCGUAAAGAGCUCGUAGGCGGUUUGUCGCGUCUGCUGUGAAAACCCGAGGCUCAACCUCGGGCCUGCAGUGGGUACGGGCAAACUAGAGUGCGGUAGGGGAGAAUGGAAUUCCUGGUGUAGCGGUGGAAUGCGCAGAUAUCAGGAGGAACACCGAUGGCGAAGGCAGUUCUCUGGGCCGUAACUGACGCUGAGGAGCGAAAGCGUGGGGAGCGAACAGG